rnacentral:rRNA from 1 species
UACAGAGACUGCAAGCGUUACUCGGAUUCACUGGGCGUAAAGGGAGCGCAGGCGGACCGGUGUGUCAGAUGUGAAACCCCAGGGCUCAACCCUGGGACUGCGUCUGAAACUGCCGGUCUAGGGACUCGGAGGGGCUAGUGGAAUUCCUGGUGGAGCAGUGAAAUGCGUAGAUAUCGGGAGGAACACCAACGGCGAAGGCAGCUAGCUGGACGAGAUCCGACGCUCAGGCUCGAAAGUAUGGGGAG